rnacentral:rRNA from 1 species
GAUGAACGCUAGCUACAUGCUUAACACAUGCAAGUCGAGGGACCGGCGCACGGGUGAGUAACGCGUAUCCAACCUAACCACUACUCAGGCAUAACCCGUUGAAAGACGGACUAAUUCCUGAAGGUCUUGGAUGUGGAUUCGUCUUAUUAGUUUGUUGUUGAGGUAACGGCACACCCAGACUUCGAUCAGUAGGGGUUCUGUGAGGAAGGUCCCCCACAGUGGAACUGAGACACGGUCCAAACUCCUACGAGAGGCAGCAGUGAGUAAUAUUGGUAAAGGGAUGCAAAUCUGAAACAGCGAAGUAGCGUGAAGGAUGACAGGCUAUGGGUUGUAAACGGUUUUUAUGUGAGAAUAUGUAUCACAUCAAUAAGGAACGGCUAAUUCCGUGCCAGCAGCCGCGGUAAUAC